rnacentral:misc_RNA from 1 species
AUGAAGAAAAUAAGGAUCAAAAUAAAUUCAAUUGUACACCAUCCAGCCACUUAAGUGUAGGCAGAACCCUAACCAGAAAUAAGGUAAAAUUUUCAUCAGCAAUGGCAUUCCCCACCACAUCCAAUUGUGUCAAGUUCAAGCCUUUCAACACAAAAAAGGCUUCCCAAUAAUUUGUCAUGCUGACCCCAUCAACCAAAAUUCUAUCUUGCUCCCAUUCAUUUCCAAUCGAAUUAGACAAAGGAGAUGAACACAGAUAUCUGGUUGUGUCAAUAGAGCGUGCACCUAUCUCAUUGUAUGAAAUAUCCAGCGAUUUCAAUGACUUCAGCUGUCUCAAUGGCUCCAAUGCAGUAAAACUAGAGAGUUUAUUCUCACUCAAACUCAAAUGAAUCAGUAGCUGCAGAGCCUCCAAUCCUUCAAUUGAUUGAAGUUCAUUAUGACUCAGGUCUAGCAUUUGGACCCACAAUAAUUUAGCAAAAGAUCCU